GGCAGGGGCAGCCUUAGAGACUCCUGUGGCUUUGCUGCAGCAAGUCUUCUUCUCGAGGUCUCUCCUUGAGGACUGAGUGAGAAUUAGGAUUCACAUACAUGAACAUGAGGAUGAACCUCUUCGGAGUUGUCUCCUUUCCUACUACUGAUUUUGUCAUCCCUGUUUAGAAGGAUGCAGCACAGUCAGUUCUGGUGAGCUGAUUCUGGAGGGUGAGUCUCUGCCUACAUAAUUUACCCAGCCCAUGUGAUGUACAACGCUUAGAGCCCAUCAAGCCUCAUAUGACUGAGGGGAGUUGGAACAAUGUGCAUCAGCAUGCCUCUGAAUCAAGACUAAAAUCAUGCCAGAGUCCACUGAAGCACAGCUCAAGCUCCUCGAGUGGCUAUCAGUAGCAUCCCCUAGCCUGCCCGA